rnacentral:rRNA from 1 species
AAGGCGUAACGAUUUGGGCACUGUCUCAACAACAGACUCGGUGAAAUUGUAAUUCCGGUGAAGAUGCCGGAUACCUGCGACAGGACGGAAAGACCCCAUGGGGCUUUACUGUAGCUUGACAUUGGGUUUUGGUACUACAUGUACAGGAUAGGUGGGAGGCUUUGAAACCAGGACGCCAGUUUUGGCGGAGCCAUCCUUGGGAUACCACCCUUGUAGUACUGGGACUCUA